GACGGAGGGUGCAAGCGUUGUCCGGAUUUACUGGGCGUAAAGAGUCUGUAGGCUGUGUGGCGCGUCUUGUGUGAAAGACUCGGGCUUAACCCGAGCAUGUCGCAGGAUACGGCCAUACUUUGAGUUCUUUCGGGGGUGCUGGAACUGAUGGUGGAGGGGUGAAAUCCGUUGAUAUCAUCAGGAAUACCGACGGCGAAGGCGGGCACCUAGGAAGAUACUGACGCUGAGAGACGAAAGCUAGGGGAGCGAA
rnacentral:rRNA from 1 species